AUCAGGUUUUGGGAUCACCCUUUGGGCUCGGCCUUUGGGAUCAGGUUUUGGGCAGCCCCACAGCCGCUUUCUCCCCCCUUGGAAGGGAAACUCCGUUCCCGUGGUUUUGGGAAGCAAACCCAUCCUCCAAACCAGGAGAUCUGUGCCAGCGCCGCGUGUCCCCCCUGCCCAGCCCCAGGGACGUCCCUUCCCCGUCCCCCCAGCCCUUCCCACCCCACACCCCGUGCCCAGAUCUGUUGAAAAUCCAGGUGGAAAAAUCAAGGUACAUUUUAUUUCCCUGCCACCCCCGGGUGCCAUCGGAGCCCUCCAGCCCCGCGGAGACUUUGGAGGUUUUGUUUCCUUUUCCAGCCUCUGCCUCACUCCUCCCAUCUUCCCUCAUGGCUCUGUGGGGGAAAAAGUCAUUAAAUCCACACCUCCAUCUCGCUUUUAUCACUGAUCUGAUUAUCUCGUAAUUCCCUCCCCGAGCAGCAAACGAGUGUGAACCGACUUCUAUCCAAUUUCACAAUUUCAACGGAUUUGUAAAUAAUCUGGGAGUAAGAAAAAAAGAAAAAAGAUGGAGCGGGGCGGGGGGGAAUGUCUUUGUAAUUUCUGCUUUUCCUUUAUGGUGAAAUAUAAGGGAUUUUAGUCCAUGUA